rnacentral:rRNA from 1 species
AACGAACGCUGGCGGCAUGCUUAACACAUGCAAGUCGAACGCGCCGCUCGGGGCUUGGCGCACGGGUGUGUAUCGCGUGGGGACAUACCCUUUUCUACGGAAUAUCACUGGCAGACUGGGAUGAUUACAGUAUACGCUCUCCUGGGAAAAAAUUUAUCGGGGAGGGGUUGGCGCGCGUUGGAUUUUCGAGUGGGUGGGGUAAAGGCCUACAAAGCCGAGGAUCCAUAUCUGGCCUGGGAGGAUGAUCAGCCACAUUGGGACUGAGACACGGCCCAAAUUCUUCCGGGAGGAAGCGGGGGGGAAUAUGGGACAAUGGGCGAAAGCUUGAUCAACCAAUGCCGGGUGAGUGAUGAAGGCUUUGGGGUUGUAAAGCUCUUUCACCGAUGAAGAUAAUGACGGUACUCGGAGAAGAAGCCCCGGCUACCCUCGU